ACCCCUGGUUUUCUAUUUUUGCACAAAAAAAACUGUUCUUAUCAGUCAGUUAAUAUCUGAUAUGUCCCCCAUCGGGGGACCACAUAUAAAACAGAUUUUUGGAACAGGGAGCUGGAUCAGGAGCUUGCUCCAUCCUCUCCACGCAUCGGCCCGGUAUUGCAGCGNNN
ensembl:snRNA U2 U2 spliceosomal RNA